UUUUUCUCAAGACUAAGCCAUGCACGUCUAGUACAAACUAAAUGAUGGUGAAACUGCAAAUGGCUCAUUACAACGGUUAUGAUGUACCCGGGAGUUCCGAUGGAUAUUUCCAGUAACACUAGAACUAAUACAUGUCCCUGCGUUUAUUAGUUUCGCACAGUCCGUCGCUGAGCCAUGGUAAACAGUUGAUCGACUCGACGUCCCGGAACAGUUUCCGCCCCAUCAGCUUCGAUGGUUGGGUAUUGGCCUACCAUUGCAACAACGGGUAACGAGGAAUUAGGGUUUGAUUUCGGAGAGGGAGCCUGAGAAACGGCUACCACAUCUACGGAUGGCAGCAGGCGCGCAAAUUACCCAAUGCAGACACUGUGAGGUAGUGACGAGAAAUAAUAAAGCGGGACUUCUGUUUCGCUAUUAUAAUGAGGAAUAACCAAAGGUCAUUCCGAUUAGCAACUGAUGGGAAAGUCUGGUGCCAGCAGCCGCGGUAAUACCAGCGUCAGUAG
rnacentral:rRNA from 1 species